rnacentral:rRNA from 1 species
AACACAUGCAAGUCGAACGAUGAAGCCUUCGGGUGGAUUAGUGGCGAACGGGUGAGUAACACGUGGGAAAUCUGCCCUGCACUCUGGGACAAGCCUUGGAAACGAGGUCUAAUACCGGAUAUUACCUUCCCUCGCAUGGGGGUUGGUGGAAAGCUCCGGCGGUGCAGGAUGAUCCCGCGGCCUAUCAGCUUGUUGGUGGGGUAAUGGCCUACCAAGGCGACGACGGGUAGCCGGCCUGAGAGGGCGACCGGCCACACUGGGACUGAGACACGGCCCAGACUCCUACGGGAGGCAGCAGUGGGGAAUAUUGCACAAUGGGCGAAAGCCUGAUGCAGCGACGCCGCGUGAGGGAUGACGGCCUUCGGGUUGUAAACCUCUUUCAGCAGGGAAGAAGCGGUUGUGUUUUCACAGGCGUGACGGUACCUGCAGAAGAAGCACCGGCUAACUACGUGCCAGCAGCCGCGGUAAUACGUAGGGUGCGAGCGUUGUCCGGAAUUAUUGGGCGUAAAGAGCUCGUAGGCGGCUUGUCACGUCGGAUGUGAAAGCCCGGGGCUUAACCCCGGGUCUGCAUUCGAUACGGGCAGGCUAGAGUGUGGUAGGGGAGAUCGGAAUUCCUGGUGUAGCGGUGAAAUGCGCAGAUAUCAGGAGGAACACCGGUGGCGAAGGCGGAUCUCUGGGCCAUUACUGACGCUGAGGAGCGAAAGCGUGGGGAGCGAACAGGAUUAGAUACCCUGGUAGUCCACGCCGUAAACGGUGGGAACUAGGUGUUGGCGACAUUCCACGUCGUCGGUGCCGCAGCUAACGCAUUAAGUUCCCCGCCUGGGGAGUAC